UGCAAGUCGAGCGCUAAUUCCAGGUAGCAAUAUUCUGUAGUUGGAGCGGCGCAAGGGUGCGUAACACGUGGGUAAUCUGCCAUGAAGUUUGGGAUAACUCGCUGAAAGGCGAGCUAAUACCGGAUGUGAAAAUUGGAAGGCAUCUUUUGAUUUUCAAAGCUGGGGACCGUAAGGCCUGGCGCUUCAUGAUGAGCCCGCGGCCUAUCAGCUAGUUGGUGAGGUAACGGCUCACCAAGGCUAAGACGGGUAGCUGGUCUGAGAGGACGACCAGCCACACUGGAACUGAGACACGGUCCAGACACCUACGGGUGGCAGCAGUCGAGAAUUUUUCACAAUGGGGGAAACCCUGAUGGAGCGACGCCGCGUGGGGGAUGAAUGGCUUCGGCCCGUAAACCCCUGUCAUUUGCGAACAAACUGGU
rnacentral:rRNA from 1 species